UCAGGAGGCUUAUCAGUGCUUCCCACUGAAGCUAAGCAGGGUUGAGCCUGGCCAGUACCUGGAUGGGAGACCACCUGUGGAAAAACUAAGGUUGCUGCUUGAA
rnacentral:rRNA from 1 species